AUUAAAUAAUAUAAUUUUCGCGUAAUUAUCUUGUGAUUUCACUCAAUGGAUAAUAAAGGAUCGUGAAAAAGAUUGAACCAAAACUGAACCAGAAAAAUUCAUUAACCAAACUUUGAUGAUCGGCCCCAGUUCUUGCGGCUGGAUACAAUUUUCUGCUCUGCUUGGGUCCUUCGCCAUGGAGGGCUUCUGCUACAACUUCUCAUUGGUUGAGACAGAAAGCUUCAGACUCCGGCGACGUUCUGCUCCUGCGCCUCAUUUCUUCUGCUCACACGCCUUUCCUGCCAUUGCCUUUUCUAGAGGUGACUUGUGCAAGUGAUGGGAACUUAUCAAAUGUUUUGCAGCCAGGAUGUUUGAUAUAGUCAUAGCACAAAUAUACUGCCAAGAAGAUACUUCUGAUAAAAUCAUAGUGAGCAAGGCGCUUAAAAAAUAUGCAAGGAUUUGCAAACCUUGAGAAUUUUGGUUCUCUUGAUACACUUUAUGAUUAUGCGAUGGAUUACUUGUAAGAUUUUUUUUAUGCCCUGUUGAGAUCCUCAAUUUCCCGUUCGCUUUUUAUAUGUUUUUCUUGAGCGACCUACUUAAUUCAAUCUAUGUAUUAUCUUUUCUGCAUUA